rnacentral:lncRNA from 1 species
UUCAUGCUUGCAAUCCAUGUAAUUCUUGUUUCAACCAAUCAAAAAAUAGAAAUAAAUUAAAUUAAAAAUAAGAAAAUGAAUAGAAGGAUAUCUCUCUCCUCUCAUCUCUCGAUAUACUAAAAGGUUCUCUCAAAUAGGGAACGAAAAAAAAAGAUAAGAAAAGGACCCUUGAUCUGAAAACGGAUCUCUUUUCUCUCUCACUUGAUCUUCCUCACAAAACCCUAAUCCGCCGCCACCCUUUCCUCUUCAUCCUCACAAUCUUCUCCGCUUACCAACACCAAAU